rnacentral:tRNA from 1 species
AGCGAAGCCAAAGUAGAGGCUUAUCACUGUUAAUGAUAGAAGUGAUUUUUAAAUCCGCU